CUUGAAUAUGUUGAUAAUAAAAACUCCAUAAGCAUUUACAAAUUUUUCUUGCAUUAAAUAGCGAAACGCCAAGUACCAUUAAUUUGUGAAAGGUGUUUCUUAUAGAAACCAGAAACAUUUGCUCAAGCAAAAUCAUGUUAUGAAUCAAAAGAGAUAGAAGGAAAAAUGGGUAAAUGGGGGAAAUAUUCAAGGCCAGAUAAAAGACAAUGCGAGCAGGAAACUCUAUUUCGAGGAAUUACUACGUUGAACACCUGAACACCAUACGGAAGCAAAAAGAAUUGAUGUUGACUAGCUAUGUUGCUAUGCAUACUUCAAUAAGAAGUAUUGAUCAUUUAACAGAUAUAGUAAAUGAAUUAACCAUUAACAAAUUAUCUUCAGCUUCAUAGAACAAAGUGUUUAGCAUUAAUCAAAUUUGUUAUAUAUAUGUUAUAUUAUUGGUCAUAGCUUGCAACUGUGUGCUUCAAAGGUCUCUCUCAGAAAUAUUUUCUAAUGAAGUAGAAUUUCUUCUAAGAAAUUUCUAAGAAAAACAUAUAACUGGUUUACAAAUAGUGCUAUUCGGGUUAGUAAAUAUAAAGAUAUUUAUUGCCUCAUAAAUACUGAUGAUUCAAAUUUCAGAAAAUUUUGAUAUAAAAUAUUAAGAUAAGAUAUUAGGAUUAAGAUAAAAUUUUUAACUAGUAUUUACAGCUUGAAACGUUCUUUUCAUUAAAUGCAGACAAAGAAAAAUGCCAUACAGCAAAACUUUUGAGUGAUGCACAUAGCCACACAUACAGGGUGAUUUAAAAUUCGUCAUUCCUCUGGAGGUGUUGUCUGGCGAUGUUAUAGGA